rnacentral:rRNA from 1 species
AUUGAACGCUGGCGGCAGGCCUAACACAUGCAAGUCGAACGAGUGGCGGACGGGUGAGUAAUGUCUGGGAAACUGCCUGAUGGAGGGGGAUAACUACUGGAAACGGUAGCUAAUACCGCAUACUAUCAAAUGUGCCCAGUUGGGAUUAGCUGGUUGGUGGGGUAACGGCUCACAAAGGCGACGAUCCCUAGCUGGUCUGAGAGGAUGACCAGCCACACUGGAACUGGACCACGGUCCGGACUCCUACGGGAGGAAGCAGUGGGAAAUAUUGCACAGUGGGCUCAAGCCUGCUGCAGCCAUGCCGCGUGUAUGUGGAAGGCCUUCGGGUUGUAAAGUACUUUCAGCGGGGAGGCGUUACCCGCAGAGAAAGCCCCGGCUAACUCCGUGCCAGCAGCCGCGGUAAUAC